rnacentral:lncRNA from 1 species
GGGGGCUUCUCCCCGAGAAAUGUGUUAAUUUGGACGUCAGGGAUUUCGAGUACGAUCUGACAAAUUCAAAAAACAGUAAUAUCGCCAUAUCUACGCGUGUGGGAUCUGUUAGAUCAUGGCUUGAGCCAGUGAUUGUGCACCUGGUGAGGGGCAUGGCCAGCCCUGGGAGCACAGCUGUGGGCAAUUCACCUGAGUGGCCAGAAGAGGUGGACUCAGUGCCUACUCCUCCCCAAACUCAUUUAAGGGCUGGCAGCUGAAAGAGCAGGACGUUUAUGUGGAGGCUGUCUCCUUUGGUAGUUUUCUGAUCUUCAGAAAGGUAUGAUAGCUGACCAAGAAAGGCCUCUCAUUAGGG